CAAAAUCUUCAACAUACUUCUUAUUAUUGGUGAGACUUGCGACGCAAACGUCCCAGUUUAAAUCUUUGUCAUAAUAAGUCUCAUUAGUGGGGCUUGCGAAGCAUUCUUCUACAUUGUUUAAGCUAGAAACAUCAUUCAAACUUUAAAAUGUGCAGAACAGUCAGGACCAGUGUGCUUGCAUUCAAGUUUUUGAUAUAUUUUAUUAUUUUUAAACUAAGCUUUUUGUCCUUUUUUACUUUCAUGGGAUUUCUUCAACAUUCUAAGUGUCCCAUUGUGACAUCAACUCCCAGACUUCCAGCAUUCCAUUUACUGUGAACAAUGCAACUUUUGACACAAACCUGAUACCACUUUCCCAACCAUUUUGACAAAAAGUUAGAGCAUAUGAAAUCUUCCUCUACUUCUUUGCAAUUCAAAUCUGAAAUUCGAACAACAAUCUCAUACCGGUCAAACCAUACAGCUGUUUUACUAACUGCAUCAAUGACAUUUCUAUGAACUUUUUAUAAACAACUUAAAUUUGGACCACUUUCCCAACCAGUUAGACAAAAAGUUAUUGUAUGAAAUCUUCCUCUACUUCUCUGCUAUUCAAAUCGGAAAAACUAAAAUAUCUGAUACCAGUCUAACGAUACAGCUGUUUUAGUAACCACAUUGACAUUUUUUAUAAACAACUGACAUUUUGACCACUUUCCCAGAACUUUAGACAAAAUCUUAGAGGGUAUGACAUCUUUGUCUACUUCUUUUGUUUUCAAAUCUGGAAUCAGAACAAAGUUAUUUACUACUAAUCAAAAGUUACAGCUGUCUGAGUUUAGAGUGAUGAAAAGCAGCAAGCUAACGCCAGCUAACAGCUCUCUGUUUCGUCAUUGAGCAGCCCAAACAGCCAUUGCUAUGGAUACUUGCAAAAACUUAAAGAGUUUAACAUCUUGGACUCAGCUAUUUAAAUCUGGAAUCAGAACAGAACGAUCUUCUACCAAUCAAAAGUUACAGAGUUACUGCAGUUUGUCAGAGUUUAGAGUGGCAAAGUAGCUAGCUAACAUCAGCUAAAAGCUCUCUCAUGUCUCAUCAUUGAGCAGCCCAAACAGAGCCGUUGCUAUGGAAACCAAUGCAUUUCAAUGGCCGAAAAAGGGCCAUAGACUACAAUGAAAAAAGACCUAGAAUGUAUUAUCUCCUCUUUCACUGUUUAAGCUAUCGACUCCAAAUCAACGUUGAGAUGUUCAGACUGACCAUACUUAGAUUGCUUGUCAAAAGAUUUUGUAUACUAUAUACAUACAUUUUUUUUUACUAUAACCAUUAAAUGUGCAUAAAUUACAUUGGUUUUAAUGAGAACCAUAGGAAUACAGAAUGGUUUUGCUUUUGGCCAAUUUAGCUACAAGACCAACUUUAAAACAGUCAGGCUAUCCUAACUUCAAAUUCUUUGAAAUGUCUAACUACAUACAUUUUUUUAUUAAUUUGCAUAAAAUAACUAUUGAACCAUUCAAGCUAGAGAGAACAAACCAACUUUCACAUGUUCAGGCUAUCCUACAUUUUAAAUCUUUGUAACUAUAUACAUUUGCAUAAAAUAACCCACCAACAGUAAUUAUUGAACCGUUCAAGCUAGAGACAUCUGUUGCUAUGGAUACUCACACACAGAGGAGCACAUGGGGCAGCGCAGGGAGCAAAGGACAGACAGAGACAAUUCUGCUAUGGAUACUAGCGGAGAAAGUUAUUGUAUUUCUAAUUUCGGGUUGAGCAAUCAGGCCAGGGUAGGGUAGGGCCUGAACGUCUACGCCAUGGGUAGGUUUCUGCUUUUUUUCUUUCUUUCAAACUUCUAACCACUUUCCCAUCAGGCUAGACAGGAACUUAGUGUAUAACAUCUUCCUCUACUUCACUGCUAUUCUAAUAUGUUCCCAGACUCUGCAAAUAACAUCGACGAGCUAAGUACCACCGUCACUAGCUUCAUAAGGAAAAGCAUCGGUGACGUUGUCUCCACAGUGAAUAUUCUUCCCCAAUCAAAAGCCCUGGAUUAACACUGAGGUUGAAGCUAAACUAAAGGACAGGGCUACCACACACAGGGCUAUCGCAGACAACCCUGGGGCUACGGCUAAGGACAGGAACAAGUUCAAGUCCCGCAAUGAUAUAGUAAUAAGGUGGAAUCAUACUACACAGGCUCCGACGCCCACAACAUGUGGCAGGGGCUACAGUCCAUUACAGAUUACAAAGGAAAACCCAGCCGUGAUCUGCCCAACGAUGCCUCUCUUGCAGACAAACGCC
rnacentral:lncRNA from 1 species